UAUACACACUAGUAAACAACUCUCCUUCAAAGAAGAAAAAGAAAAUAGGGAGACAAGACACAGAAAGCUGCAGAAGGUACUGCAAGUCUGUUUUAGAUGCCAGGUCUAUUAUUCGAUUAGACAAUGCUAGGGGCAAAACCAGCAUCUUCACCCUUCUGUAACUGCCAGCCAGGACUGGAUCUGGAUAAAAUUAUCAAAAACACAAAUUGAAACCAAACCAACCAGCCAGCAAUGGGCCAACCAGCUCAUCGCCAGUGAAUGAACCUGGAUUGCUACUUCCUCUCCAGGGGAGAGAGAAGAAAUCUGUUAGCAACAGGCCUGGGAACAGAAGAACAGUAUCAAGGAACAUAAUAACUAGGCCUGGGUUUCUCCAGAACCCAUGAUUUCCGAGAGGAGAAAAAAGAGAUUCUGUCGUGGUGCGUGGACAUAUCAGAGAGACAGCCAGCGCGCAGAGGGAUGCCAGAGAAUACGCCCAGCAAGUCCGUAGGAAACACGAUUGCUUUUCUGCAAAUGUACACAAACAGAGGUGCAGGUGCAGGACCCCCGGAAGAAUCAGGCUGGGCCCGCUGUGCACAGGUUAUCCGGCCUGAAAAUCUCAGAAAGAAAUUUUGAAUUCCCUGUAAAAAGUUAACUUGUCUGGAUAUCAUCUAACGAACUUCCUUGAAUAUGCUUGUUUAAUAGGUAGUGUGGUAUUUAUAGCUACCAUGUCUCAGAUAAUUAUGAAAAUUGACAUUGCUGCUUUCUAACUUGUCUUUAAUUUAUUCUUAAAACAAGAGAAAACUAGCUGGGAGUGAAAAGAGAUGUCUAAAUCAACAGCGGGAGGAGGCCUGGCUGAUUCAGCUGUACCAGAAUGCUUUUUUUCACAGGAAGUAAGAUGAGGAAUGAAAGAGCACUACAGGACUGAGUCACUUGCAUUCAAAUUCAUUCUUACGGAAAUGAAAGUGAAGUGCAAUUAAACCUUGGAGUUUCUCCAAGGAGCUCUAAAUAAUAAUACAUCUUCCUCCUUUUGUUCAUAUAUUUAAACAGCUUUCAAAGAAAACUUGAUGAACAUUUUAAAUGUUAUUUUGGGGUUUAAUGCCCAAGAGAAAUAGCAAUAUUCCUCUUCAACUUAAAUCCUAAAGUGACGAGGAAAUCUCAUACCUUUCAUUUAAGCAAGAUUGAGUUUACUGGAGAUUCGAAUGAUCUAACUUUAGGUAUUAAACUGAGAGGGCUAUGUUAAGAGUAUUUCACCUUAUCCUUCCUUUGCAGUCAAGGAGGAGCCAUGAAAGUAGCCUAAGGCCUGCAUCCUCUUUAGCAGGGUCGGGCUCUCACCACCAACUACAGAGGGGACUGUUCCCAACUCACAGUAAAAUCUGACAUUCUUAUUAAGCUGAUCUGUUCUCACACCUCCUCUCUUCAUCCGACUACUCUAAUACUUGUUUGCCCCCACACUCAACUGGUUGCUAAACCUAUAGAAGACUAAUUGUGUUCUACAAAAAUGAACUGCUUCAGGGAGCUACAGUUAGCUCCCUGCACGAGCCCAUACCACAGUGAGAACGGUCAAGCCAGCCUCAGACCCGGGCUUUCACGUGCCUGGGAACAGAGCUGGGGGCUACGGAGGGAAAGGGAACUGUGAAACCCAGUUUGGCAGUGUGUUCUAUAUAUCUAUAAAGAUAUCUAUUAUAAUGAUAUGCACAAAGAUAAAUAAAUCUAUAUAUAUCAUCUAUCUACAGAUAUCAUUAUAUGAAUGCAUUUUUAACCAGGACUUCCAAAUUUACAGUACACGCAACAGAAAUAAUUUCUCCCUAUUUUCAACACCUCCAAGAAGGCACUGGUACAUCUUUCUCCUUAAAAGGAUGCUGCAUAGCUUUAGCUAUUCGCUUUCCUGAAGGACUAGCGCAAGAUAUUUUUUCAGUACUGCACAUACCACAUCUGAUCAUACAGACAUUGCAUCAAAGCACAGAAUGUAACAACAUCAACUACAUUAGACCACAAGUCCCCUCCUAACUGUCUCUUUAUUUUCUUUAUACGUGAUCUGGGACAGAAAUUAAAAGUGACAUGAAAAGUU